GUGUUUUGGUUGUGUGUUGUUAUGUGUUUGUUUGUUUGUUUCCCUUCAGAGAUUCCCACCCUUUAAAAUCUGUUCAGCAACAUGAGUGAUGACAAUCCAAUUUUGAUCACAUUUAGGUAUUAUUUUUUAAAUGCCUAAAGUGUAAAAUAUUCAGCACAAAACAGAUGGGGUCGCAGGAAAUAAGGGUGACUGAGAAACGUGGGUUGUUGAGUCCUGCAUCCUAAAGGGAAAAGUUCCAUGGGGCAGAUUUACAUGUCAAGUGGGGUAAAGCUGAGUAGGGAAUGGAACAACAACAACGAAAAAAAAAACGCCAUCUUAACUGUCACUUUGAAGACCAGAUUAAAAUCUAUGCAAUUCACAUCUUUGUAGUACUACCUUUAUAGACCUUAGUUCUUUAAAACCAACUAGUACUAAAAACUCAAGCAUGUGGAAUGAAAAAUAUAUUCUGGGAUAUCCAAAUACAGGUCAUUGGAAUAUAUGAGUUUUCAUCUUUGAGAGACUUUAGAAAUUGGACUAGAGAGUCUUCUUAGGGAAAGGGAGGGGAAAAAGUACAUGUACUGUGGUCAAUACUGCUCUUGUGUUCUCCAAAAUCCAUAAACUUGAAGCGUAUC